CUGCAGCCACUUAAGCCGACUGUGCUCUUUCCCCAUGGGGGCCCAGUGUGCCAUGGCUGCAAACAGUAGCCUCCUUGGUAGUGUAUGCAGCCUGUUGAUUGUAUGGGUUGCCCUAAGGGACCCUGGAGACAGCC
rnacentral:snoRNA from 12 species